rnacentral:rRNA from 1 species
GACGAACGCUGGCGGCGUGCUUAACACAUGCAAGUCGAACGGAAAGGCCCUUCGGGGUACUCGAGUGGCGAACGGGUGAGUAACACGUGGGUGAUCUGCCCUGCACUUUGGGAUAAGCCUGGGAAACUGGGUCUAAUACCGGAUAGGACUACAGCCUGCAUGGGUUGUGGUGGAAAGCUUUUGCGGUGUGGGAUGGGCCCGCGGCCUAUCAGCUUGUUGGUGGGGUGAUGGCCUACCAAGGCGACGACGGGUAGCCGGCCUGAGAGGGUGACCGGCCACACUGGGACUGAGAUACGGCCCAGACUCUACGGGAGGCAGCAGUGGGGAAUAUUGCACAAUGGGCGCAAGCCUGAUGCAGCGA